ACGGAGGGUGCAAGCGUUAUCCGGAUUCACUGGGUUUAAAGGGUGCGCAGGCGGUGAUGUAAGACAGAUGUGAAAUCCCCGGGCUCAACCUGGGAACUGCAUUUGUGACUGCAUCGCUGGAGUGCGGCAGAGGGGGAUGGAAUUCCGCGUGUAGCAGUGAAAUGCGUAGAUAUGCGGAGGAACACCGAUGGCGAAGGCAAUCCCCUGGGCCUGCACUGACGCUCAUGCACGAAAGCGUGGGGAGCAAACAGGA
rnacentral:rRNA from 1 species